GCUCCCAAGGUUGCAUUCCUUUGAGGACCAGUAGCUGAAUGCUGGGUAAUACUUUAAAAUGGAACUUGUAAGCUAAAAUGGAAAAACCUCACCUGAUUAUACAUGGGCAGCUACAGUGAGCCCUAUGAAGAUAAAAGAACUGCAGCACCCCUAGCACAGAUGAAGUUUUUGUCGAAGCAGUGGAAAAUUG